AGACACCGCCUCCACCACAGUCCUGGCAACUUCUUCAUAAGUGUUUGCCAGCCUAGUUUGUAUUAUUUUAUCCACGGCCGGACGCUGCGCCACGCGACUGCAUUGCCAGCCACGAGGAAGUCUGACAAGUAUCACAAGCUCGAGGACUGACUGGACUAUAAAGUGGCACUUGUCUUAAAAGAACUCAAUAUAAAGACCAGGGAAGCCUCGAACUCACAGAGAUCCUCCUAUUUCUACCUGGCUCUCCUAAUUUCUUUCCAAUAAUGGCUAUGCCAAGCAAGAGGCUAUGAGAGGCAAAAGGAUAGCCGAAGCAAAGGAAUAGCGGACAAGAAAGACAUCAUAGAGGAAUCACACCAUAGGAAAAUAGAACAAUAAUCACAAGGAUGUGACAUAGUGGACGGAA
ensembl:processed_transcript Gm15787 predicted gene 15787